rnacentral:rRNA from 1 species
UACGUAGGGUCCAAGCGUUACUCGGAAUUACUGGGCGUAAAGCGUGCGCAGGCGGUUCGUUAAGUCAGCUGUGAAAGCCCCGGGCUCAACCUGGGAAUUGCGGUUGAAACUGGCGAACUAGAAUCUGGCAGAGGGGGGUGGAAUUCCACGUGUAGCAGUGAAAUGCGUAGGGAUGUGGAGGAACACCGAUGGCGAAGGCAGCCCCCUGGGCUGAGAUUGACGCUCAGGCACGAAAGCGUGGGGAGCAAACAGG